UAUUUCUGUUAGUCUAUAAUAGAGAUCUUGUGGAUUUAAUAUUAAUUUCCUGUAACAAGAAUCAGUUUGGGAUUAUUCCUGAUAAUCUGUAGAUCAGUUGUUUCAUGAGGGACAAUAAAACAUUGCUGUAGCUCUGACUAAUACCUACCUUUUCAUAUCUUGUUAGGGGGAGAGAGGUCCGAAUGGCCCCCCCGGUCCACCGGGUCCGGAUGGGGAUGCAGGCAAACCAGGAUCCCCUGGCCUGCCUGGAGAGCCGGGAGCUGAUGGAUUCACAGGACCUGAUGGCUCACGUGGAGCCACAGGACCAAAAGGACAGAAGGUAAGAACAAAAUUAUGCGUGAAACUGUGAGAUUUUUAUUUAAGCAGGAUUUUUGUUUGUCUCUAAGCAACUAA
rnacentral:lncRNA from 1 species